GGAGACAUAAAAAAAACCCUAGACUACACAAAAGAAAGAGAGGUCAACCGUUUUUAGGAGUUGAAACCCUAAGACCCUUCAUCUUCCUCUCUUAACCUAAAUAAAACCCCAGAGAGCAAAAAACACCCUAGAACCCAAACACCUCCCAUCAGCCGCCGCCCUCAUGCCUGAAACCCAUGACCAUCCGCCCCUCCUCGUGACACCAACAAACAACCCCUAAAGAAGAGAUCAACGGCUACCUCCUGACCUCACAAAAAAUGACCCUCCCAUCUCCAUCUUCCAAGACCUAACAACGUCGCUACCUUCAACCAACCAACGCCCACACUCCUCCAUCUUCAACCCAAAAAAUGUGGAUCCUUAAGAGCUAGCAGUGGCCAGGCUUCUUCAAACAAAAAAGCUUCAGCGCCACAUCUUCCUCUUCUAAAAAAAACGAUGUUAUAGUAGCCAGAUUUCGGCGUUCGACGGAGGUAGCGACAUUUUCAGCCAUCAAAAUAGCACCAAAUUUUCCUUCAGACCUCCGUUGCAACCAGAUGCAGAUCCAGCUCUAAUGUGGUCACCCGUGCAACUAUACUUUUAAGUUCGAAUUUCUGUUUUCCGUCGGGGUUUCGGUCUGGUUUAUCACUCAUGUGCGGCUACUAUAAUCGAAAGGUUGUCACUCUUUGAGGUUAAUUUCCUAUUUUGAUUUUUAAUUCUCCUCUCUAUUAAUCUUCCAUGACUAUGAAUGUCGUGUAAUUGUUUUGUUGUUUCGCUGCUUGUCUAAAACUUUCUUCAUUUGGUUUAUUUAUGUUAAAAUAUUCAUUGAUGCGUUAUUCGUGAGAAGACAUAAAUUAAUUAGUUUAUGAAAAAUGUGAUUGCAAAUGGUUGAAAUUUUAUUGAGUAUGAUAUAUUUGGUUAAGCUAUGAUAAUGUUUGGAUUUGAAAGCAAAAGAGAGGUUUUGGUUUCUUGGUACAAAUUGUCCAUGGCAGAGAAUUCAAAGUUAAAUGAGUUGAUAUUUUUUUUAAAGAAAAUUUCUAUUAUUAUUUACUUGCUUUUUUUAAUCUGGCUAGGUUGAUGUUUAAAUGAAAUUGAAGUUGGAUUUUGGGUUUUGUUAGUAACGAGAAUGAAUUUGGGCAUAAAAAAGAUUUUAUUAUUCUCGUCUCAUUUUAAUUACUAGGUUCGCUAAGAGCAUACUUAGGCCGUUAAUAUUCAUGAACCUUCAUAGUUUGCUUUAGGUGCGCUAUAAUAAAAAUUAUCAUGGUUACGGGUACGGUUCCCGUGACAUAGCUGUGAUACAUAAUUUCCAAAUUCGGGGGUACGUUUAUGUGAUCCGACCACAACUUCUAAUAAUGUUAAUGAAGUGAACAUGUUGUAGAUCAUGGGUAUGGUUCCCGUGACACGAAUCACAAUAUUUAUCAUAAAAACAAGUGUACGACAAUCGUAACUUGUUCCAGAAUAAUGCCAUAAAUAAUCAAAGCGGUCAAAGGUUAAAAUGCACAAUAGGUAUAAAAUAUGUAAUUAAUCAGAUAAUUAGGCCAAUAAUAAUAGUUGAGUGACCGUGCUAAAAUUACGGAACCCGGAAAUGCCUAACACCUUCUCCCGGGUUAAUAAAAUUCUUUACUCAGAUUUCUGUGUUUCGCAGACUGUAAAACGGAGUCAAACUUCCUCAAUUCGGGAUUUUAAACCGGUGACCUGGGACACCAUAAAUUAUCCCAAGUGGCAACUCUGAAUUUGUAUAAAUAAUCCCGUUUCGAUUAUUGUCACUUUAAUUGGAAAACCCCCUGUACCCUUUCGGGUAGAAAAAGGAGGCGUGACACCUAUUAAGACUCGUGUCUCUUUAAGUACUCUUUGCCAGCUGUCACUCUUCUUAUAAUCUACGUGUCUUGAUAUGUUAGCCACAUAAUUAAUUCUAAGUGUAAUAUUGAUUUUUCCCAAUACAUGAAAAUUACAAACAAAUUGCAGGAAGGGUGUAUAAAUGUUGUAUUUUUAAUACUUGAUGUCACACCUCCUUUUUUACGUACACCCCCGAGAGGGAGCGUAUAAGGGAGUUUCUCCAAUUAAAGUGACAAUCAAAACGGGAUUUAUUUUAAAAAAUUCAGAGUCGCUACUUGGGAGAUUUAUGGUGUCCCAAGUCACCGGUUCAAAUUUCGAGUCGAGGAAAGGGUUGACUCUGUUUAACAGUCUGCAAACCAGAAAUCCGGGUAAGGAAUCCUGUUAACCCGGGAGAAGGUGUUAGGCAUUCCCGAGUUCCGUGGUAAGGAAUCCUGUUAACCCGGUCGCUUAACUGUUAUAUUUGGCUUAACUAUCUGAUUUUAAAUAAUUAUGAACCUAUGUGCGAAUUUAACCUUUUAACCGGUUUUAAUUGAUUUUUGGAGAAGAUUGAACGUCGCUUAAAAUAUGCCUUUGGAUCGCGCCACAUAAAAUGCACCCGCAAUCCGAAACACAUUUUAUUCAACGUUUUAGGAUUUGGAUUUGGAUUUGGGUCGCAUGAAAUGCGCACCCGAAUUUAGGAAGAUGAUAUUAUUAAAAUACGCACCUAAAGCAACUACGCGUUUCAGCUUUGCGAGGGCCAUGGAAAUUUCACUAAAUGGCACGCCUCGAACUCUUAAGGAUUAAAUCAAAAUUAAUUAAACGAGGGCCAUGUGAUUGUCAAUUUUGUACGACAUGGCACACUUCGAAUUAUUCUAGCCAAACGGUUUUUAAACCAAUCCAUGAGGGCCAUAUACUACUUGUGUUAUAAGAGAUGAUUCGCCCCAAUUAUUGAUAAGAGCUUAAUUAAUCAAAAUGCCAAGUGUAGUCAAAGGUUGGUUAUUUAAGCAAAUGGGUUUAACCCAACUCCAAAUGAGCUGAUGGUUUAAUGAAUAAAGGGCCACACAGUUUGGGCCCAAAUGUGAGCCCAAGUCUUUGGGGGACUAGGCAUCAGCGGAAAGGGGUUUCCAGGUCGAGUCCCUGAGGCACACCGGCAACGUCUAAAAAAUAUUACUGGUACAACAUGAGGCCAAAUGACUAACCACGGGACACCCAUACAUAUUCAAUCGACCUUUAAAGUCAGCCUUUGAUUACUUAAUGGAUGAUUAUAUGCAGUUUAGCAAUGAUAGUUUGAAAGUCUUAUUUAAAUAGCUAACAGUAGAUAACUUAUUUUCAGGCCUCUAAAUUAACUUAAAAUAAAGGCCCGAAGAUAGAGAACAAAUCAAACCAAUCUUGCUGAAGUAAACCCAAACUAACAAUAAAUGGGUUUCCAGGUCGAGUCCCUGAGGUACACCGGCAACGUCUAAAAAUAUUACUGGGUACAACAUGAGGCCAAAUGACUAACCACGUGACACCCAUACAUAUUCAAUCGACCUUUAAAGUCAGCCUUUGAUUACUUAAUGGAUGAUUAUAUGCAGUUUAGCAAUGAUAGUUUGAAAGUCUGAUUUAAAUAGCUAACAGUAGACAACUUAUUUCCAGGCCUCUAAAUUAACUUAAAAUAAAGGCUUGAAGAUAGAGAACAAAUCAAACCAAUCUUGCUGAAGUAAACCCAAACUAACAAUUGAUCAGUUCAUGGUAAACUCAAACGUACUCCUACACCAAAGAAUCCCAGUAACUCACAGCCAAAAACUAAUCAAAAUCCAUAACAAACCAGCGUGAAAUUAGAAAUUACCAAACGUAAGGUCUUACUAAAAUGAGUUCGAACUUAGUCAAAGGCCAAAGUUCAUGAUCCAAUCAGUGCUACAUGACAUGUUUACAGCUAAACAAUUAAGAGUGAACAUGAUAAAAGGGAAGAUCAGACUACUCUACACAUUCUCAUAGUUUCCAAAAGACAUGAGUGACAUUUAUGAACUAGACAAAAAUACGACUAAGCUAUAAGAAUGAGCAAAUUCAAUGUACUGCUUCAAGACUCCAUGUCUAUUUCAUUUCUUCAAAUCCAACCUUACAUUAAAUAAAGAUCAUAGUCAUGUACCUGGAAAGCAAAAUGUUAGCAGAAGUAAGGAGCUCAGCAGUAGGCAGUAUCAGUUAACCCAGAUUCAGUAAUCAGAAUAAUGAAAUCAGCUCAAAAUCCAAUGGAACAGUAACCCUCAACAAAGUUUGAACCAAAACUUUUCACAACACACUUUCAAUUCAUUUCAAAUCCCAAAAUGAGAAGCUAUUGUUUCCAAGAGUUUUAUUCACCGAAUGCAAUCAGAAAACUCAAAAUCAGCAAAGUUUGAACAACUUUUUACAACCGACCAUGCAAUCAGAAUUUUUCAAGAAAAGCCCAGCCGCUUUUAGUUUUGUUUUUGUAUUUUUUCAGCUCCUCCUUGCCUUGAAAGGCAAGAUAGAGAUGCCUUUAUAAGCAAGGCAUUAGGGCAAGGGUAGGGUCGGGGUAGGGUUUGGGGGGAAGGUUUCUGAAGUCAGGACGAUGAAAUGAGGGGGGGGGGGGUUGCGUUCAGACAUAUAUAUACUUCCCAGGUUUAUGUUUUGAGCCGUUCGAUCAAGUGGUGAUCAACGACUCAGAUUGACGCUGAUCGAAUCGGCGUCGUUUCAUUUGAAGAGGGAUCCGGACCGGGUUAGGCGGGUAUUGGGCUAUGUUGGGCGGGUACGAGGGGGAGGCAAUUGGGCUGAUGGGGGGGUUUAAAUAAAUAGCCCAAAUCGAAUUUCCCUUUGUUUUUGAGUCUUUUCUUCUUUUUUUCAAUUUCCAAAUUUCUUUUCUUUCCAAAAUUAGAAAUAAAUCCUAAAUUAAUUAUUAAAACUAAUAUUAUUCUAUCAAAUUAAACUAAUUAACCUCUAAAAAUAAUUACCAUACUAAUUAAAUACCAAAUUAAAGAAAGCUAACAAAAUUCGAGAAAUUAAAAUUAAAAUGCAAAAAUGAACUAUUUUUUGUGAUUUUUCCAGUUUUAUAAAACACUAAAUUACUAAUUAUUUCAAACAUGCAGAAAUUAAAUCCUAAAUGCAAAUUCAGCAUAUUUUGUAUUUUCCAUUAAUUAACAGACAAAAAUGCAAAUAAUUAACAGCAAAUGCCACAAAAUCCACAAAAUUGCAAAUAAUGAAACGAAAUUACUUUGUUUUGAAUUUAUGGGAGUAUUUCAUGCAGGGCAAAAAUCAUAUGUUCACAGCUGCCCCUCUAUGUUCGGAAACACGAAGAGUUUUCGUGCAAAGAUAAAGUGAGCGGAUAAGAGCGAUUUUUGCCCGUUUGAAUACUCCGUGGGAAGCAUUUUUGAAAGAUUUGACCGCACCUUGCCUCUGAGGUUGCCUACAUAUCCUUGAAUUAAAAGGAAUUAGGUCAGUGUAGUUCGGGAAAUUUUGGUAGUUGGGACUACCAUGAAGCUGUGAUUUCACUAUUGCUGUUGCUGCUGCUACUACUUACUGAACCUCCUUAUUACACCAUAUCAAAAUAAAAUAAGAAGCUAUACUAAACUAUGAUCUAUGGAUUACAAAAGUCCUAUCUAUAUCCCCAAACUUGAUCUUGUGCUUCUUGUUGCCUUAUUGUUCUCCAUUCUUUUGGAGACAUCCGUUUGUUGCCACCUCGAAUUGUAAACUGAGAUGUUUUCCCCUUCUUCAGGUGGGUUCCUGACUACUGAACAUGAUAUGUAUUCCCAUGCUAUCCAGGCGGACUCCUGACUUCAAAACGUGAAUGUAUUCUCAUGCUAUCCAGGCGGGUUCCUAACUUCGACAAAAUAGACAAACAAAGAAAAUUUUCUGCCCCGGUUUGGUGGCUGGGCACAUACGUAAAUGUAAAAUGGAUCACAUUACCAAACAUCAAUAGGAACUUGAAAGCUUAAA
rnacentral:lncRNA from 1 species